GUUCACUGCCGCACAGGCAGGUUAGAAG
rnacentral:other from 1 species